UACGUAGGGUGCAAGCGUUAAUCGGAAUUACUGGGUUUAAAGGGUGCGUAGGCGGCUUUGUAAGUCAGGAGUGAAAGUUUGCGGCUCAACCGUAAAAUUGCUUUUGAUACUGCGAGGCUAGAAUUAGGAUGAGGUCAGCGGAAUGUGGCAUGUAGCGGUGAAAUGCAUAGAUAUGCCAUAGAACACCAAUUGCGAAGGCAGCUGGCUAGACCUGGAUUGACGCUGAGGCACGAAAGCGUGGGGAGCGAACAGG
rnacentral:rRNA from 1 species